GCGACCCUCAAUAGACGUACGAAGAUUAACCUGCGACAAAAAAAACCUACGACGGUUAACCAGUGACGAGUCCUGUUCUCCCUACCUUCGUGGCCGCCCUACGCCUCCCUUCGCUGCCCUCCAUCCUCGCCGCCCUCCAUCCUGGUCGAGGCAGUCGCCCCGCUUCACUCGUCGUCCUCCAUCCGCGUCGACCACCGCCCCCCGCCUUCCCCUACCUCUCGCUCAGCCACCUCCACCACCCCCACCCUUCUCCCCAAUGUCGGAUCCGCUUGCAGAUCGUCAAGUUAGGUGGCGGAGCUCCACGUCAAUGAAGCUGCUCCCGGAUCUGCGGUUGCGCGGCUGUGGCGGAAGGGGCUCGAGGUGGCCGCCGUCGCCGCGGAAGACCAAUCCCCCACCUUGUCCAGAAUCGCUUCCUCCGCCAUGUUCCACCGAGGAAGGUAAGAGCCCUGCACACGAUCCCGACGACAUCAGGGUCUUCACAUCGCCUCCACCUCCUCGGCGCCCUCACGUCGCCGUCCUUCCUCCACCCCGAUCUCCUCCGAGCCCUGCCGCCUCCGAGCUCAGGACCUAGCCGACGCCGACCUCUCCUCGGCGUCCCCACGCCGCCAUCCUCUCCUCCACGAUCUCCUAGAGCCCUGCCGCUGCUAUCACGUCCGACCUCACAACUCACCAACCUUUCUCAGGUUUGGACCAUUCCUUCACCAUUUUUUCAGAUCUGCGCUCAAAUUAUUCUAUUGGCUGAACACCAAGUCCGGAGGAGGAGAACGCCUGUGUCAGGUUUCAGCUAUCUCCCGAGAUCAGUAGCAUACUACUAGCAUAUAUGAUCUGGUUCUGAACUCACAGGGAGCACCCGUAUGAUCUGGUUCUGAACUCACAGGAAACAGCCUAAAUUUGUUACUUUGUAAUGCAGUGAAAAUACAUGCAUUCGGCGUUCAGGACUAAACAGGAAAGAACCUGAACCCCAAGGUGGCACUCAGUUUUCUGUGUUUCAGUCGCAGUGCAAGGUCAGCAUCCUCUUUUGUUUGGCGGUAAUAAUCAGUAACAUCUUAAUGCGCAUUCUAUUGUUUUUUAAAGAUAAUAUGGAUGCAGCUCAAUUCCAAUCUGACACUUGUUAAGAUUUUCACACGUUAAUUUAUGCCAAGAUAGCAGACAUGAAGUUAAUGUAUGCUCAAGUUAAUGUGGAUGAGAGUGGCUGAAUGCACCAUCAAUGGAUGUGAAUUUCUCACUGUUACUGGUUUUUAUUUGUUCAGUUGCAGGCACUCUACAUGGACGAGAAUUUAUCACUAUCACUGGUUUUGUUUCUUCAGUAAAAAGCAUUGUCUACUACCUAUCGAGUUGAAACUGAUGAAGUUGUUUAUGUAGUUAUUAGCCCUAUAAAUAGCAAUGCGUGUGUUGCAUCUGAUGUGCAUGAGUUCAACCUAGCAAGCUCCUGGGAGAAGAAAAACAGAGCCACAACAGCCCUGACGAAGAUCUCCAUCUGUGGUCCGAGGACCAACCAUGACGUCGAGCUGCUACAGCUUGGAGUCAGGAGUCGUGUUCGCACCCCGGCGUGUCCCAGUAUGUGCUUUGGAAGAGAUGCGUCAAUCUCAGAAGACCCUGAUGCGUCCACAUUAUUUGCUUCAGAAAUAGAUAGCAGCUCUCCGAUGUAGUAAGGAGAAAGCAAGAAUGACAGAGCAUCCUCGUGUCAAACUGAACACACCCUGACACUUCUCCAUUAUUUAAUUCAGAAACAGGGAGAAACAACUGCUAUCUCUGAAUAUAUUUAAGGUUGUUUCUCUUAUCUCUAUUCUGAUGUACAUGCAUCUUCCCUUGCUAUCUUCCAUACAUAUAUGUGCUAGAACCCAUGCCUUUUUUUCCUGUAAAUGUGCGACAGAUAUGUGCAGCAAAGUAGUCUUCAUGUGAGAGGAAGCAAAGAAGGUAUGAGGCUAUGCAAUAAUGCUCCAUGUUAGUUGGAAGUCCAAUCUCGGCUUGAGUACCGCUCUUUAAGCAAAAUUACUAGCAACAUAUCUUAUCCUAGAUGAUUCUUGCUUAAACAACUUUAGAAGCACAACUAUCAGUAUGUGCACUUAAUAAAAUGCAAUUCUGAGUGCAGAUGCUGAAAAUAUUUUGGAAAUUAUACAUUAUUCAAUCUCCCAGUUUGUGAUUUGCUUUUUGUUUAUGAAAAGGUGUGACGAAAUCUUUUGUUUAUGUUUUCCAGAAAUGUACAAACGAGUGGCAUGUGUCAUCUAUAGCAUGUCUCCUUUGUGUGAAAUGUACAUGCAACUCUUGACAGCUACUAACAUGAAGUUGCACUCAGACUCUCGCAUGGACUAAAGAGUUAUUGUCGGUAUGUACCACUGUUUAAUUUUUACAGUCCAUAGGUUUAUUUAUAUGGCCAGUAUUGAUCUCAAGGACAACAUACUGUAAUUUCCUCUAUUACUUGUCAAUAUUUCUGUAACUACAGUCACUCACAUUCAAAAUUUUAUUUAGAGGAACUACAACAUGUAUUUUACUGACUUGGACAUUGAACUAAGGAAUACAAAAGGUUCAAGGCAUAUGCGGAUAAUUGAAGUUUUAUAUUUGUGGACAAGGGAGACCUGCCUAAAUUAGAAGGUAGAGUAGGAAUCAGUGGGUUCCUGCUGACAGUGGUUGCAAGCACAUAGGGAUAGGAAAUGAAGAUGAGAUCAAAUCUCCUCAUUCCAUCUCAUCUCGGUUCCUGGCGAAUGGGGUUCGGGUUGAGUUGUUCGUUUGAUCGACCACAAUUUUUGGGUGCUUAUGAAAUAUGCAACGCAUGUACUGCGAAGCGAGAUAUUUAAUUUGAUUUUCUUGGGUAAACCAUACUCUUGACAUUCCAAAAUCUCUACUAUUAAAGGUGUAAUUUGAUUGUUUAACUUCAUACUUUGACCAUAAAUCUCUGAAAAAUAUUUAAUUGACUGUUAAAAGUCGUAAUCAUAAGAAAGUGAGUUUGUGGUUGUUGAAUGAAAUAUUUUUUCCUAUGUAUGGUUGCCUGCACCUGCACCUGUUCGAUCUCCUCUAUUUCAGAUCCUAUCUCAGACCGAGUUAUUUAGUGCCAAAUUCGUCAAAAAUUAGUACUGAAUUAUUAGCAGUUAGUACUGGUCUAUUGAGUGUUGAAUACACCAUUCUUAAGCUUGUCAUUGUAAACCUAUUGCAAAACUUGCUUAUUUAUUGUCAAUUCCAUCCUCUUUUGAAACAAAGAUUCUGAAUGUUCAAAAUUUAUGUCAUAUAUGUUGUAUUCUUGGUCCAUUUGUUUUACAAAAUAUUAAAAAAUGGUCGCCGGCCACAUCGGCGUAAGAAGAGCAGGCAACUCACGAGAUUCGUCCAAGAGGGGAAGAGAGAGGGAGGAGGAGGAUACGUCCGUCCGCGCGGGUGCUACUGGUUAAUCUUAUGUCAAAACUGCUCUUACCUGACGAGAAAACUAAGAUGUGCAGCUGCAUGGUGUUUAUCUUAUGUCCAAACUGUUUUCAGUUAGCUUCUAAGAAUAUGGUAUAAUACAUUAGAAUAUAUUAUAUUGUGCAUGCAUCCAACUCGGAAGGACUCAUGAAUUCUGCUGAAAAAACACUCAUUCUAAAUAACCUUCCCAUGGAACUGCUUGAUCUGUAUGCAAUGUGUCGUCUCUGAUUCUACAGCAAUUGAGUUUGUGCUGGGAUCGCACAAAUGGCCUGCUGCUCGGUGUUCAGUGUGCUGUUUGAUGAGUACUUGCGGUGCUUGUAGGCCCAGGCACCCAGCGGAGCAAGUGCCGGUCCCGGGUGCCCUACUAAAUCAUGUUUUCUUAGCUCUACUGAUUAGCGUCGGUGAACUAAGAUUAAUCUGGAUGUGUGCAAGGUUUCCUUUGUUUCUGCUUGGUCACUAAACUGCACGCCAAUGUGGCCUUUGUAUACUCAAUUGAAGAAUGGAUGUUUCCCCUUUACUGUGCAUCAUGCUACGACUACAAGGCAACUCAAAUUUAGUUUCAGUUUUCUUCAGUGCGGAUCAGUAAGCUGUUUAUCUUACUUUCACUUUUAAAUUGUUUGCUCUAUCACUACACGCAUGUGUUCCUAUCUACGUCAUUUCUCUUAAUUCUAAGAUGUUAUGAAUAGGUUAUGAGAGUGGAUUUCUACUCUCAGGUGUACUACACCCGAGUUUGCAAACAAUUGGGAAAACGCAAUCAAACAAAGUUGAAAAACUCUGAAAAUUUGAGACAUCAGACUUUAUCAAAUAUUCGAGCUUCUUGCAAAAUUUCAGCCAAAAAUAACAUCUGAGGAGUUCUCGCCAAAAAACAAAAUCAAUGUUCAAAGUUUUGUGCACUGUUUGAGCAGUGAUUUUGUUUUUUAUGGUGAGAGCUCCUCGGAUGUUAUUUUUUGCUCAAAUUUUGCAAGAAGCUCAAACAAUUGAAUAUUAUUUUUGUCUCAAAAUUUCAGAUUUUUUGGAUUUGUUUUAUCACGUUUUUCAGUUUUUUUGAAAUUGGGUGUACUACACUCGAGAGUUGUCACACCUUUCUAUAUGUCUCGUGGUUUUGUGUCUUAUGCCUUGGAAGCUUUUUCACAAUGCACACAUGCAAAGUCCUUUCAUUUUCCUCCUGCACACCAUCUCUCUCUGUAUCCUCAGUCGCGUACUAUAACAUUUGACAACAAGUAUGUGUUGUGUUGGUCUCAAUGGGCUGGCACAGUACUGCAGACUAUGGCUAAAGGCUAUGUUUACAAACAUAAAUUAAUGAUUCAAAGAAGAGGAGCAGAUGGUGAUACGAUAUUUACCUCAAGGUUGAUCAAUCAGUGAACCGAGGGACUUAUUAUUCGGUGAGGCCAGCGGGCUAUUCCAUUUCCUGCGUUUCCUCUUCAGUAUGUUGACUCCAAUCUCCAGAGUCCUGGAUGCUUCUUUCUUAGUCCAUUUAAAUGGGUAAUUGUGUUUACCAGUUGGUACACGUUUUUCUUUCAAUAUGCUUUUUUUGUUCUUCAAAUUGAUUUGUUGAUGGUACAAGGGAAUCAUUGAAAAAAUGUCUUCUCAUCAAGGAUUGGACUGUGUUCUCAUUAUAGAACAUAAUUUAUUAUGUGAGGCAUUUGCCAUUGCAACAUCUUGCCUAGGGUAUAUUUUUUCCCACUAAACUGAACUGCCUCGCAAACAAAUUAUAUGUAAUACCCCCCUUCUCCAUAAAUAAAUAACAUCUGCUCCGGCAGUAGGUCAUGCUUGGCAGAAUUGCCUCCUCCCGGUCUUCAGCACUUCUGCAGGAAUUGAGCGCCAGUGUGGUCGGGCCACAUAGAACACCAACAAGCGACAACAACACACCACUCCAAUAUGCAACCAGAGUUUGGGCAAUGAUCAAAACAUGGCUUGGUUUAUAUGAUGUUCAUCCUACGGAUUGGGGAGGCAUGGUUUCCGUCAAGGAGUGGUGGUGCAGCAACACUUGCGGGAGGUCGCAAUCUCGAAGGCCGCUUCUUUCCCUUAUUCUUAUCUCUUGGGAAAUCUGGAAUGAGCGAAAUGCUCGGGUGUUCUUCAACAAUGCGACUCCGGUCGUUGUGCUUGUGACACACAUCAAAGUGGAGGCAUCAUCGGGUUGCCUUGCCGGGUGAAAUAUUUGUGUAAUAUAAUGCCACAAGAGUGAUUCUUAAAAUCUUCUUCUUAUUCAAUGAAAAUGACAAGCCUUUUGACUUGUUUCAAACAAAAUAUAAACCCGAAUGGAUUGAAAUGUUUAAU